rnacentral:rRNA from 1 species
GCUAGCGAUAUACUGUUAGUGCCUAAGCGAAAGCGAUAAGUAAUCCACCUGGGGAGUACGGUCGCAAGAUUGAAACUCAAAGGAAUUGACGGGGGCCCGCACAAGCGGUGGAGCAUGUGGUUUAAUUCGAUGAUACGCGAGGAACCUUACCUGGGCUUAAAUGUAUUUUGACAGACUGGGAAACCAGUCCUUCUUCGGACAAUUUACAAGGUGCUGCAUGGUUGUCGUCAGCUCGUGCUGUGAGGUGUCGGGUUAAGUCCCAUAACGAGCGCGACCCCUAUCCUUAGUUGCCAGCGAGUAAUGUCGGGGACUCUAGGGAAACUGCCGGUGCAAACCGUGAGGAAGGUGGGGAUGACGUCAAAUCAUCACGGCCCUUACGUCCAGGGCUACACACGUGCUACAAUGGCGGAUACAAAGGGCAGCUACAUGGUGACAUGAUGCUAAUCUCGAAAGUCCGUCUCAGUUCGGAUCGAAGUCUGCAACUCGAUUCGUGAAGCUGGAAUCGCUAGUAAUCGGAUAUCAGCAAUGAUCCGGUGAAUACGUUCCCGGGCCUUGUACACACCGCCCGUCAAGCCAUGGAAGCUGGGAGUGCCUGAAGUC